rfam:Caenorhabditis briggsae complete genome, chrIV
GCAGAGGUAGCCAAAUGGCAAAGGCGGGGGCCUCCGGAACCUGUGGACAAAUAUCCUUUAGGGGUUCGAUUCCCCUCCCUGGCA